UAACUUGCCACAACUUUAACUUAUAUACACAGUCAGGAGUCACAUAAGGACAUUUUAGUCAAUAACAGGCUGCACAUAUGGUGAUGGUCUCAUAGGAUUAUAAUGGAGAUAAAAGAUUCCUACUGCAUAGCAUUCUUGCUGGGUCUCUUCUAUACUUAGAUAUGUACAGAUAAUACAGUGACAGUUGUAUUGCACAUUCAAUAUUCAGUGGAGUAACAUGCAGUUCAGGUUUGCAGCCUACUUGUGCAGCAGACUCUAGCAUCAAGUUUUCUCUAAGUACACUCUAUGAUGGUCACAUGAUGACGUCACGUGGUGGCUAUGAUUUAGAACACAUUCGACCCAUGACUAUACAGAAGACCUCACGUAAGUGUUACGUCAUAAAUGGAACCCUGUGUCCCACCUCUUGCCUAAGAUGGUCCUACCAUAAAUGGUCUCCCAUCCAGAGCUAACUCGGAACUGGCCACAGGCUUGGCACUCACCGCCCAUGCAGAAAGGGACCAUUCAGAGGGCAGUCAACGAGACGGGCCUCAGCUUAGCUCCGCUGCCGUGGAAGGACGGUCCAGAGUGGCCGUGGCUACUAACACUUAGGAAGCUAGCGAGCAAGUGACUUUGUUCAAGAACAAGGGCCAGACAGAGCUGAAUUCUUCACCAACAGGGUGUACUGCACACUGGAACGGGCAGGCCUCCUCGGGACAAAAGGGAGGCACGUGGCUGCUGACAGGCGUGUACCAGUUGGUCUGAAAUAAAGCCUGAAUAUUCAUUCAUUCUCCUCCCAUAGUCUCCCCUCAUCACUGUUUUGGACUUUGGAGAGAUUUUCUGUUUAUCUAUACACAUAUUUGAACCUGGAACAGACUGUGGUCCUCUACCUCACACUAUACCAGAUGUAGCUGUCAAUUAUCACAGCUUAAAGCAAGACUGCCCCCCGCUCCCAGCCCUGCCUCUGCUCCUACAGAAGUAUGGCUCAGAGCCGCGAGGAAAAUCUCCAUGUUUAUACCUCAACUAGGCAUUUCAGUUUCCUAGCCAUAAAGACAUAGGCAGCGGUCAGGAAAAUACAGACAGUGGCAGUGGCUAGGGUUGUGAAGAACCAGCACUCCAUGGAGUUUAAGAAGCAGAUGUCUGUGCCUUCAUAAUUUUGUAUAUUCUUUUGUUUUUUUGGCUGCCCUACAUUCUGAAACUGGAACUGGACGGAAUGGAGGAAGAGGAUGUCUUCACCCUUCCUCUUCAUAGUGAGUUUCUUCUAAGAAGAAAAACUUGAGCCAUUCCGGCAACUGUCUUUCUCCCUUUAAGACCAGCAUAUCACAGAAGUGGUGGCUUCUUGUCUGAAAUCCUGGAGCUCAAGAGUCUGAGGCAGGGGAAUUGCUCGUUUGAAGCCAGCUUGGACCACAAAGCAAGACCCUGUCUAAAAAUGAUAGUCGUCGUUCAGUAAUGAAUAAAACCAACGUUCUUUAUAAA